rnacentral:siRNA from 1 species
UGUGAAAGAACUUGUGUCUCGGUU